UACGAAGGGUGCAAACGUUGCUCGGAAUUAUUGGGCGUAAAGCGCACGUAGGCGGCUUAGCAAGUCGGAUGUGAAAGCCCUCGGCUCAACCAAGGAAGUGCAUCCGAAACUGCUGAGCUUGAGUACUUAAGAGGAUCGCGGAAUUCCCCGGUGUAGAGGUGAAAUUCGUAGAUAUCAGGAGGAACACCAAUAGCGAAGGCAGCUCGCUGGGACGUUACUGACACUGAGGCGCGAAAGCGUGGGGAGCGAACAGG
rnacentral:rRNA from 1 species